AUAGCAAAAAUCUAAGUUAAAUCAUUUGUUUGCGAGCUAUAACCUAGUGGAGUACGCUUAUAUUCCGUAUCACUAAGUUAUAGACCGCUGACAAAAUGCUUUACUUUGCAAAAGGAAAAUC
rnacentral:precursor_RNA from 15 species